rnacentral:rRNA from 1 species
UACGGAGGGUGCAAGCGUUAUCCGGAAUCACUGGGCGUAAAGGGCGCGUAGGCGGUUUGUUAAGUCCGAUGUUAAAUCCCGAGGCUCAACCUCGGAUCAGCGUUGGAUACUGGCAGGCUCGACGGUUGGAGAGGCGAGUGGAAUUACCAGUGUAGCGGUGGAAUGCGUAGAUACUGGUAGGAACACCCAUUGCGAAGGCAGCUCGCUGGACAACACGUGACGCUGAGGCGCGAAAGUGUGGGGAGCAAACCGGAUUAGAUACCCGGGUAGUCCACACCCUAAACGAUGCAUACUUGGUGUCGGUCCGUUGGGAUCGGCGCCGGAGCUAACGCGUUAAGUAUGCCGCCUGGGAAGUACGGCCGCAAGGUUGAA